UGAAACCUCUCCUUAAGUUGGGUGCCAGAACUGAUUCUGAAAUUGUCACAAGUCAGAGUGACAACAGAAAGGUCCCAGUGGAAGUACUGUUGGUGCUUACAGUAUGGGUGUGACUGGGGCUGUGUCUAUUAGGAGCAGAUGUCUGCCUGUCUCUCCAGGAUUGCUGAGAUCCGUCUGUGGGGCAGAUAUAUACAGGUCGUCCUGGGAGACCACUCCCAAAGCUGAUGCUGGGUCUGUAAAGAGAGACAGCACCAGGUCCCCCAGGCAGUAGAUGCUGCUAGAAUCCAGCUGGCCUCAAACUGGCUGCAGCUAACUUGCCUCCAUUUUGCCUCUACUGUAGUGGUCUCUGGAAUCUUCCAGGAUUGGAACAAGUGACUGAAGCUGCCUUCUGUCUUGGAGCCACAGUCAUCCAGGAGCCCUGAGCAAGGAGUAGUGGCCUGGGCUGGGCUCUAGGCCUGCUGCUCCGGGAAGACAUGGUCUUGUCUUCAUUUUUUUUUUUUUGUCCCAGCCUUAGAGACAGACUCAUGAGCCCAAUCUGGAAAUCC
rnacentral:lncRNA from 1 species